UGCAGAACUCUCAGCUCUUUUGGCACGUUUGCCUUUGAGAAACAUUGUUUUAUUUUUAAGGGAACAACAUUUUUACGAAAGGUUGUACCAUCUCUUUAUCCUAAUAGUUUUUUGAAGUAAAAGGCGGGAUGCAAUCAUGUGGCAAAGAAUCUUUGUUUUUAUUGUGGGGACCUUGGAACAGAAGUGAAUUAAGAAUGACUGACUGUUGUAUUGUAA